GUUGGUUCUCUCCUUAUACCAUGUAGGUCCUGGGGAUGGAACUCAGAAGACCCUUCAUAGACUGUGCUGAAAUCUGGCUCCAAAUGAAUAUCAGCAGAAGGGUCUCCUCAGAUCAGAGGAGUAAACCUGUGGACCAGUCAAGGAUGCAAGCAACGGGAAGCAUCAUCCUAGGGAUGGGAAGGGGAAGAAUGCCUGCCUAGGAAACAGACCCCAGGAUCACCUGCCCCAGGGACAGCAUCACCAUCAACAAUGGGAAGGGCCUCCUACAUCAAUCAUCAAUCAAGAAACUAUCCCACAAGCUUGCCUACACGCAAGCAAUCUGGCGGAAGCAUUUUCUCAGUUGAGGUUCCUUCUUUCCGAGUGACUCUAGCUCAGCUCAUGUCAACCCGACAAAACACUAGCCAACACGGUAUUAAAUGAAAUAAUCACAUGGUAGAUUACAGCUACUGCUUUAUGCAUGUUAAACUAUCCCUGCAUCUCUGGAAUGAAGCCAAUUUGAUCUUGGUAGAUAAAUUUUUAGUGUGUUUGUUUCUUUUUAUUGAAAAUAGAUUUUUUUUCCUCAUAUUAUAGAUCCUGAUUACACUCUCCCCCCCCCUACUCCUCCCAACCUCUCCUUCCAUCCAGAUCCACUUCCAUUCUAUCUCUCAUUAGAAAACAGGCUUCUAUGCUAUAUUAAUAUAACAAAAUAAAACAAAAACUAACACAUUAGAAUUGAACAAAACAAAAAAAGAAAAAGAAAAUAACUAAAGAAAAAGAGCCCAAGAAAAGGAACAACUGCUUUUAUUGUAUUGAGGAAUGCCCCUUGUAUCCCUAAUCUAUCCAGACUUUUAUCAUGAAGGGAAUUUGGAGUUUCUCAAAGGCAUUUUCUGCAUCUGAUGGGAUAAUUAUGUAGUUCUUGUCUCUCGAUUGCUUAUAUGAUGGAUUAUAUUCAUUAAUUUAUGUACAUUGUAUCUCUGAGAUGAAACAUACUUGAUUAUGGUGGAUGGUAUUUUUGAUGUGUUCUUAGAUUCAGUUUGCAAGUGCUUUAUUUAGAAUCUUUGCAUCUGUGCUCAUAAAGGAAAUCGGUCUUUAACUCUCUCUAUUUCUAUUGGAUCUUUAUGUAAUUUAGGUAUCAGAGUAACUGUCAACCUGGUUUUUAAAAAUUGGGCAAUGUCAUACCUAAACAUGAUAAAAGCAAUCUACAGCAAACCAGUAGCCAACAUCAAAGUAAAUGGAGAGAAGCUGGAAGCAAUCCCACUAAAAUCAGGG
rnacentral:lncRNA from 1 species